UCUUGAUGUGCAGGAGAUCGCUUGAGCGCUGCUCACAGGUCGAGCUUUUGCUGUAACACUGGGAGUCGAUUAAUAUUCCCAGAAUCGACUCAUUUCUUCCCUUUCUUCCUCACUGGAAUGGGAGUCGGUUCCUCAGGCUGCGGUCGAGCCGAGUUAUGCGGCCACUGGAUCACAGCGAGCGGUUUAGCGUCACUAAACCAGCCGAGGAGUCGACUCUUGUUGGAACCGAGCAGCAGAACCGGACACUGGCUUUCCAAGGAGGACAGAGUUCUGAAAUGAGGAAGUGCAGCCAGAACAUAUAAGGAACGCUUCUGCUGAGUUCUCUAUGGUUCAGCAACGGACUGGAACACCGUCGUUUCGAGCAGUAAAUCAUGGCAGAACCCAGGCAGCCCUCUGACCGGCCUCAGAGGAAGAUGUCCACUUCAGGAAACAGCUUAUAUAAAGUGCUAGGUUUAGAAAAAGGGGCUUCGGCAGAGGAUAUUAAAAAGGCAUACAGGAAACUUGCCCUGAAAUACCACCCAGACAAGAACCCAGACAAUCCUGAAGCUGCUGAGAAGUUCAAAGAGAUCAACAAUGCCAACUCCAUCCUCAACGAUGACACCAAGAGGAAGAUCUAUGAUGAAUAUGGCUCCAUGGGUCUUUAUGUCUCCGAGCAGUUUGGAGAGGAGAGUGUCAAAUACUACUUCCUCAUGUCAAAGUGGUGGUUUAAGGCGAUGGCGCUGUGCUGCACGCUUUUCACCUGCUGCUGCUGUUGCUGCUGCUGCUGCUUCUGCUGCGGGAAGUGCAAGCCCCCCGAGGAUGACGAGAACUACCAGUACGUGGAUCCAGAGGACCUGGAGGCUCAGAUCAAAGCAGAACAGGACGGGGGAGGUGAGACAAUAAUAAUUGUACAGCCCAUGCCAAGUCCAGGUCCAGAGAAUCCCAGUGACGCUCUGCCGGAGUCGAAAUGACUCGUAAGAUUAACCUGUUCAAAUAUCACACUCCUGUCAGCACGAUCCGCCCACCUCCUUCAAGAGACGAUGAGCUGGAUGAGCUGCGUCAGGGAUGGGGAGGCUCAAGUCCCCCUAUUGUGAUCCAGCCGCAUUCCACCAUCAUCACUUCGGAGACCACCCACUUCGCAGCCAGCCAGCCCAUGUACUCCGCCCAGCAGUGAGCACCUUGCCCGCUGCAGGGGUUUCAUUGUGAGGUCUUCCCCACCUUUGAUGGAAUGCAGGGCACCAAACUGUGGCUACUGCCCAAGUCCUCGGCACUGACGUUAUCGGAAGCGAAUGGGAUGGGAAUCUUCUGCCAAGCUCACCUCAAUUAUUCUUCUCAAUUGUCUGUCACUUUCAUCUGGAAACCCAUCUAACUGUGAGCCUGGAAGGAAAUGGGCUUGAUUCCUUUGUGGGGGGGGGGUGGUCUAUUCUGGGUCUGAUUUUCUUUUUUCUCUGUUUUUUAAAUCGGUAAAACAGCGCUGGGACUAUCUUGUGUAAGUAGCAUGGAGUUGAAGGCUCAUCCGGGUGCAUGCACAGCAAUAACUGCAUGCCCUUAUUGUCCAGCACUCACGCACACUGUACAUGCUCCUGUACACCUUCCGCGACCCCCACACCCCACCACUCCACCACCCCGCUCCCAGUCCUGUCCCUAAAGUAAAUCUGAGGGGCCACAAAUAUCCUGUUACUCUUGAUUUCUGAACUGGAGUGUCUGUGACUCUUAUCUAAGCAGAUUUUCUUCUAGUUGGGCUGUGCUCACCGAGCAUUUGCAACAAAUUGAACCAGGUCAUUUCAUUUUAGGCUUUAUCUAUUUUGCCCUUUUCUGCAAAUGACAAGGCAUUGCUCUGCCAGUCUCUUCUGACCAAAGCCAACAUGUACAUCUUUAAUAGAGGUGCAGUGCCUAGUGCUCAAAGCUCUGUCCGGUGGCUGCACAGGUCUUAACGGCGUACCACUCGAAAACUGCUGGUCAGAGAAAUUUAUGGCUAUGCACUUUUCCUGCGCUGGUCAGGUUUUUCAGAAGGCAAUGCAAGCCUUCUCAGAGGCAUGAGUAGGUCUUAAGGCUGAAUGCAGUUUUAGUUUUUAUGCAGUUAGUGGACUGAUAUGGGAUCAGCUUGAUUGAGGUUAGGUGAACGCGAUGCCAAAUCACAUAACAUUGCUGUACUUGCUUUUUUUUUUUUUUUUUUUGUAAAAGUAUCCAGUGACAUAACAUCUUUAUAAAUGAGUUUAUUUAUUUUGAAGAUUGUUCUAGUUUUUAUAGAUUUCAGUCAUUGUCACAUGUAUUUUGUUAAGCUUUAAAAAAAAAUCUUAAUUCUGAGCAAACAUUCUCAUCCUCCUUUAAGGAGAAGCUCAGUAUAUUAUGUGUGAAUAUCAUCAGUCAGUUUUGGUUUUGUAUUGUAAGCUUGCUGUUUCGCACUGUUGGAUGGUCCAUAUCAUUUAGGGUUAAUGCCAAAUUUUGUCUUUUAUUGUUGAUCCUGUCCCUGCAGUUGUGGUCAUUCUUUAUAUUUUCUUCCCAAAAUGUAACCAUUAAAAUAAUUCUUAGAUGUUGGAGUUAAGAUGCCAAAUGAAAAUGUACGAGUCCGUAGCAUUUCAUCAUAUUUCUCCUAUCUCGCGAUGCUGCGUACCGUGUUGGUUUGUUAGGUGAACACUACGCCCAGUAACUCAGCCAGAUAUAUAUGAACCUCUGAGCGCACGAUCAUUUUAAUGGACUGAAUCAGUGGUUUUUCAAACUGGUCCUCGAACCACCUCUGCAGGACUGUUUUUCCUGCUCUUACAGGCUCACUGAAAUAAUGAAGGACUUGUUGUUUAGCUGAGGUGUGCAGUGGGAUUGGAGGACUAGAUUUAAAAAAUACUGGCUUAAAUAUUUUUUUUUAUAUAUAUCAUGUUUUGCCACCAGCAUCUAGUACACUUGAAAAUACCCUGCGAUCUGGAAUGCUUUUAGACAUUUUUAGCCUUUUUUCAAUAGUGAACAUAUGAACUUGGGAGUUUUAAAUAGUGUAGUGGACAUAAGGAGGCCUGAGCCUGUGGGUCCGUCUCUACUUCGCCACACCUGGAAAACAACAGGGACCCCUUGCUGCACCUGUGCAAUCAAAGCUUGGUCAUUGUUUUCUUUGUUACUGUCCAACAUGAUUCGUUAUCCAGAAACAUCUAUUUAUACUGUUGACUCUAAAGGAAUUAAAGUUGGGGGAGGAUUUUUAAA